ACAGACACCUCUGAAAAGCCUGGCAAGAGCUAGAGAGUCCUUUCUAUGGAGGAGACAUUAUGCUAGAAUUUUCACACAGAUUAUUUUAUUUAACUCCAAGAACUACUCCAUGAAAUAGGCAUGAUCAUCACCUUCAUUGUUUACAGGUAAGAAAACUAAAGUUCACAGUGGUUAAAUUGCUUGUCCAUAGUUGCAUGUGUAGUAAGAGGGGCUAGAGAGUAGGAAUUUCAUAUCAUUUUGAGCUCUUGAGUUUGUAAGCAUCGUUUUUCUUUAGAGUUAUCUCCUGGUUUUCCAUGAUAGAAAGUCUUUCUUGGACUUUUUUUCUGGCGCAAGCAUUCCUUCUCAUACUUAAAUUCUUCACAAAUAUCCUUGACUUUUCUAUUAAUUCUAAAUUG
rnacentral:lncRNA from 10 species